AUGGUAAGUGCUGCUUUGAAGCCCACCCAAACCCAUGUUGCACGGGACACCCUGGAAGGAACUAGAGAUACGAUGCUUAAACUGGAAAGGGAAAGAGAAAAGUUCCACACAGAUGUCUUAUUAAAAGCUGAGGAUGGGCCGGCGCCGUGGCUCACUAGGCUAAUCCUCCGCCUAGCGGCGCCGGCACACCGGGUUCUAGUCCCGGUCCGGGCGCCGGAUUCUGUCCCGGUUGCCCCUCUUCCAGGCCAGCUCUCUGCUGUGGCCCGGGAGUGCAGUGGAGGAUGGCCCAUGUGCUUGGGCCCUGCACCCCAUGGGAGACCAGGAAAAGCACCUGGCUCCUGCCAUCGGAUCAGCGCGGUGCGCCGGCCGCAGUGCGCCGACAGCGGCGGCCAUUGGAGGGUAAACCAACGGCAAAGGAAGACCUUUCUCUCUGUCUCUGUCUCUCACUGUCCACUCUGCCUGUCAAAAAAAAUUAAAAAAAAAAAAAAGCUGAGGAUGAUUUUACGUGAGAGACUAACUAAUACCUUCUAUAAGGAUCUGAUGAACAGAACCAUGACCAAUGAGAACUAUGAAGACAGAAUUGACUCGACAUUCACUAACACUGCCUAUAAAUUGAGUCAUCCCAAAGGAAAUAAAGGCUCCUCGAAAAGAUAUGUUCUUCAGCCAUCAACCUACCAAAGCAGAAACUGUAUCCCACUAUGGUCAGUAGUUGUAGGCCUUUGGCUGAUAGGCCCAUUCUCUGCAGGUGCCUCUGUUAGCUUUUCUCCCUUAGCUCAGGGAAAUAUAAUGCCCUCCCCAUCUGGCCUGAAUGUCAGGGGCAUGCACAUUGUAAGAACAUGUCGUACGCUCACUCCUAGCACAGCACAUGGCACCGGGAAGCACUUAAUAAAUGUUCACAGAAAGGAAUUGAGGUAUCAGAUGAAUAGUAAGUCAAGGAUUUUGAAGAUGCUCACCGUCAUGGGGUUCUGUAAUGUACAUGUACUUCAGGUAGUAGAUUACAGUGAAUCUCAGCUGCUUUCUUGA
rnacentral:lncRNA from 1 species